CAGCACCUCAAGUGGUCAGGAUGAUUAUUGGGUCUAAAGGGUCCGUAGCCGGUUUGAUCAGUCUUUUGGGAAAUCUGACAGCUUAACUGUUAGGCUUCCAAAGGAUACUGUCAGACUUGGGACCGGGAGAGGUAAGAGGUACUACAGGGGUAGGAGUGAAAUCUUGUAAUCCCUGUGGGACCACCAGUGGCGAAGGCGUCUUACCAGAACGGGUCCGACGGUGAGGGACGAAAGCUGGGGGCACAAACCGGAUUAGAGACCCGAGUAGUCC
rnacentral:rRNA from 1 species